rnacentral:rRNA from 1 species
GAUGAACGCUGGCGGCGUGCCUAAUACAUGCAAGUCGAGCGAACAGACGAGGAGCUUGCUCCUCUGACGUUAGCGGCGGACGGGUGAGUAACACGUGGAUAACCUACCUAUCAGACUGGGAUCACUUCGGGAAACCGGAGCUAAUACCGGAUAAUCUCUUGAACCGCAUGGUUCAAUAGUGAAAGACGGUUUUGCUGUCACUUAUAGAUGGAUCCGCGCCGCAUUAGCUAGUUGGUAAGGUAACGGCUUACCAAGGCAACGAUGCGUGUCCGACGUGUGAGACGGAUCGGCCGCACGGGAGGUGAGACACGGUCCAGGCGCCUACGGGAGGCAGCAGUAGGGUAUGGGCGGCAAUGGGCGAAAGCCUUGCGCAGCAACGCCGCGUGAGUGGUAGAGGUCUUCGGAUCGUAAAACUCUGUUAUGAGGGAAGAACAAAUGUGUAAGUAACUAUGCACGUCGUGACGGUACCUAGUCAGAAAGCCACGGCUAACUACGUG